CUCUCUCGCUCUCUCCCUCUCUCUCUCCCUCUCUCUCUCUCUCUCCCCAUCUCGCUCUUCCACUCUCCCUCUCUUUAUCUCUCCUUCUCCCUGUCUCUCCCCCUCUCUCUCCCCCCUCUCUCUCUCUCUCCCCCAGCAGUUGUUGAAUGAGGAAGUGUGUCUGACCUCCACCAAGUCACUUUGACAUCACUGCCCUCUAGUGGCCACAGUGUGUUCUGUCCUUUAGAGAGGUCAGGAGGUGGAGAGCUCCAAGGUCAGAGGUCAGCCAUGACCGUCCUUUCAGUUACAGGUUAGAGGUUGAUGGAGGUCUGUAGUGAUGGAGGUCUGUAUUGAUGGAGGUCUGUAUUGUAUCUAGUGAUGGAGGUCUGUAGUGAUGGAGGUCUGUAUUGAUGGAGGUCUGUAUUGUAUCUAGUGAUGGAGGUCUGUAGUGAUGGAGGUCUGUAUUGUAUCUAGUGAUGGAGGUCUGUAUUGUAUCUAGUGAUGGAGGUCUGUAGUGAUGGAGGUCUGUAUUGUAUCUAGUGAUGGAGGUCUGUAUUAUAUCUAGUGAUGGAGGUCUGUAUUGUAUCUAGUGAUGGAGGUCUGUAGUGAUGGAGGUCUGUAUUGUAUCUAGUGAUGGAGGUCUGUAUUGUAUCUAGUGAUGGAGGUCUGUAGUGAUGGAGGUCUGUAUUGUAUCUAGUGAUGGAGGUCUGUAUUAUAUCUAGUGAUGGAGGUCUGUAUUGUAUCUAGUGAUGGAGGUCUGUAGUGAUGGAGGUCUGUAUUGUAUCUAGUGAUGGAGGUCUGUAUUGUAUCUAGUGAUGGAGGUCUGUAGUGAUGGAGGUCUGUAUUGUAUCUAGUGAUGGAGGUCUGUAUUGUAUCUAAUGAUGGAGGUCUGUAGUGAUGGAGGUCUGUAUUGUAUCUAGUGAUGGAGGUCUGUAUUGUAUCUAGUGAUGGAGGUCUGUAUUGUAUCUAGUGAUGGAGGUCUGUAUUGUAUCUAGUGAUGGAGGUCUGUAGUGAUGGAGGUCUGUAUUGUAUCUAGUGAUGGAGGUCUGUAUUGAUGGAGGUCUGUAUUGUAUCUAGUGAUGGAGGUCUGUAUUGUAUCUAGUGAUGGAGGUCUGUAUUGAUGGAGGUCUGUAUUGUAUCUAGUGAUGGAGGUCUGUAUUGAUGGAGGUCUGUAGUGAUGGAGGUAUGUAUUGUAUCUAGUGAUGGAGGUCUGUAUUGAUGGAGGUCUGUAUUGUAUCUAGUGAUGGAGGUCUGUAUUGUAUCUAGUGAUGGAGGUCUGUAUUGUAUCUAGUGAUGGAGGUCUGUAGUGAUGGAGGUCUGUAUUGUAUCUAGUGAUGGAGGUCUGUAUUGUAUCUAGUGAUGGAGGUCUGUAUUGAUGGAGGUCUGUAUUGUAUCUAGUGAUGGAGGUCUGUAGUGAUGGAGGUAUUUAUUGUAUCUAGUGAUGGAGGUCUGUAUUGUAUCUAGUGAUGGAGGUCUGUAGUGAUGGAGGUCUGUAUUGUAUCUAGUGAUGGAGGUCUGUAGUGAUGGAGGUCUGUAUUGUAUCUAGUGAUGGAGGUCUGUAGUGAUGGAGGUCUGUAUUGUAUCUAGUGAUGGAGGUCUGUAGUGAUGGAGGUCUGUAGUGAUGGAGGUAUUUAUUGUAUCUAGUGAUGGAGGUCUGUAGUGAUGGAGGUCUGUAUUGUAUCUAGUGAUGGAGGUCUGUAGUGAUGGAGGUCUGUAUUGUAUCUAGUGAUGGAGGUCUGUAUUGAUGGAGGUCUGUAGUGAUGGAGGUCUGUAUUGUAUCUAGUGAUGGAGGUCUGUAGUGAUGGAGGUCUGUAUUGUAUCUAGUGAUGGAGGUCUGUAUUGUAUCUAGUGAUGGAGGUCUCUAUUGUGUCUAGUGAUCGAGGUCUGUAUUGAUGGAGGUCUGUAUUGUAUCUAGUGAUGGAGGUCUGUAGUGAUGGAGGUCUGUAGUGAUGUAGGUAUGUAUUGUAUCUAGUGAUGGAGGUCUGUAUUGAUGGAGGUCUGUAUUGUAUCUAGUGAUGGAGGUCUGUAUUGUAUCUAGUGAUGGAGGUCUGUAGUGAUGGAGGUCUGUAUUGUAUCUAGUGAUGGAGGUCUGUAUUGUAUCUAGUGAUGGAGGUCUGUAGUGAUGGAGGUCUGUAUUGUAUCUAGUGAUGGAGGUCUGUAGUGAUGGAGGUCUGUAUUGUAUCUAGUGAUGGAGGUCUGUAUUGAUGGAGGUCUGUAUUGUAUCUAGUGAUGGAGGUCAAGGUGAUGGAGGUCUGUAUUGUAUCUAGUGAUGGAGGUCUGUAUUGUAUCUAGUGAUGGAGGUCUGUAGUGAUGGAGGUCUGUAUUGUAUCUAGUGAUGGAGGUCUGUAUUGUAUCUAGUGAUGGAGGUCUGUAGUGAUGGAGGUCUGUAUUGUAUCUAGUGAUGGAGGUCUGUAGUUAUGGAGGUCUGUAUUGUAUCUAGUGAUGGAGGUCUGUAGUGAUGGAGGUCUGUAUUGUAUCUAGUGAUGGAGGUCUGUAGUGAUGGAGGUCUGUAUUGUAUCUAGUGAUGGAGGUCUGUAUUGUAUCUAGUGAUGGAGGUCUGUAGUGAUGGAGGUCUGUAUUGUAUCUAGUGAUGGAGGUCUGUAGUGAUGGAGGUCUGUAUUGUAUCUAGUGAUGGAGGUCUGUAGUGAUGGAGGUCUGUAUUGUAUCUAGUGAUGGAGGUCUGUAUUGAUGGAGGUCUGUAUUGUAUCUAGUGAUGGAGGUCUGUAGUGAUGGAGGUCUGUAGUGAUGGAGGUCUGUAGUGAUGGAGGUCUGUAUUGUAUCUAGUGAUGGAGGUCUGUAUUGUAUCUAGUGAUGGAGGUCUGUAGUGAUGGAGGUCUGUAGUGAUGGAGGUCUGUAUUGUAUCUAGUGAUGGAGGUCUGUAGUGAUGGAGGUCUGUAUUGUAUCUAGUGAUGGAGGUCUGUAGUGAUGGAGGUCUGUAUUGUAUCUAGUGAUGGAGGUCUGUAUUGAUGGAGGUCUGUAUUGUAUCUAGUGAUGGAGGUCUGUAGUGAUGGAGGUCUGUAGUGAUGGAGGUCUGUAGUGAUGGAGGUCUGUAUUGUAUCUAGUGAUCGAGGUCUGUAUUGUAUCUAGUGAUGGAGGUCUGUAUUGUAUCUAGUGAUGGAGGUCUGUAUUGAUGGAGGUCUGUAUUGUAUCUAGUGAUGGAGGUCUGUAUUGUAUCUAGUGAUGGAGGUCUGUAUUGUAUCUAGUGAUGGAGGUCUGUAGUGAUGGAGGUCUGUAUUGUAUCUAGUGAUGGAGGUCUGUAUUGUACCUAGUGAUGGAGGUCUGUAGUGAUGGAGGUCUGUAGUGAUGGAGGUCUGUAUUGUAUCUAGUGAUGGAGGUCUGUAGUGAUGGAGGUCUGUAUUGUAUCUAGUGAUGGAGGUCUGUAUUGUAUGUAGUGAUGGAGGUCUGUAUUGUAUCUAGUGAUGGAGGUCUGUAGUGAUGGAGGUCUGUAGUGAUGGAGGUCUGUAUUGUAUCUAGUGAUGGAGGUCUGUAUUGUAUCUAGUGAUGGAGGUCUGUAUUGUAUCUAGUGAUGGAGGUCUGUAGUGAUGUUGGCUUUCAGUCGUAUGUCCUUGAAUGAUUCUAACCAUAAUAAUGAUGAUAAAUUCUGUUAUAAGUUAUUUUACCGUCCUGUUAAAACAUAUAUUAGCAGGUAGCAGUGGCGUUGUUGAAUGUAAAUCCCUGCUAUAUUAGCAGGUAGCAGUGGCGUUGUUGAAUGUAAAUCCCUGCUAUAUUAGCAGGUAGCAGUGGCGUUGCUGAAUGUAAAUCCCUGCUAUAUUAGCAGGUAGCAGUGAUGUUGUUGAAUGUAAAUCCCUGCUAUAUUAGCAGGUAGCAGUGGC
rnacentral:lncRNA from 1 species